AUGCUUUGGCAGCACAUAUACUAAAAUUGAAAUGCAGAGAAGAUUAGCAUGAGUUCUGUGCAAGGAUGACACCAAAUUUGUGAAGCAUUCCGUAUUUAA
ensembl:snRNA U6 U6 spliceosomal RNA